GUGCCCAGGUGAGAUUUUAACCCACGAUGCUUGUUCGUUAGAUGAGCGCUUUGACCACCCAAGCUAUUGAGCU
rnacentral:tRNA from 1 species